CGGUUCUGCUCGACCGCAUCCAUCUCCAACUGCAUCGCGGCGCGCCAUGCCGCGUUUUUCCCGGCCUCUGCAAAAGACCGAGGUUCGCCGUCCUCACACGCGAGUUGUAGCUGUGCCUCCAGGUCGCGUGGCACCAGUCCCGGCACCGGCUGGUCACCGAGUAGAUUAUCCAUCGUACGAUACCGUAGCGGUUCGCCGCUAUGAUACGCGUCGAUGCGCUCCUCGUCGUGAGUGAGCGGGGAAGCGAACUUCAUCGGGUUGUGCUCUGCGUGAGCUGGUGCUGAUGAAGACGAGCCCGGAGUGGUGACUGUCGGGGCUGGAGUAUGCGGCGUCGUCGGUUGUGGUGCCGUCGGCGUAGCAGGCACCGGAGUCGAUGUAGUUUUGGGGGCUGGGGUAGACGUGCUCGGCGAAGAGGAGCUGCUUGCUCCCCCAGCUUCCUUGAAGUGGACGUACUCGACAAUGAAGUCGUCAUACGUCGGUGUCGAGCCGUCGUCCACCGCCUUGUCCCAUUUCCACCCUCG
rnacentral:lncRNA from 1 species